CCUACGGGGGACAGCAGUGGGGAAUAUUGGGCAAUGGGCGCAAGCCUGACCCAGCAACGCCGCGUGAAGGAAGAAGGCUUUCGGGUUGUAAACUUCUUUUUUCAGGGACGAAGCAAGUGACGGUACCUGAUGAAUAAGACACGGCUAACUAUGUGCCAGCAGCCGCGGUAAUACGGAGGUGGCAAGCGUUAUGCGGAUUUACUGGGUGUAAAGGGCGGGUGGACGGGAGUGUAAGUCAGAUGUGAAAACUAUGGGCUCAACCCUUAACUUGCAUUGGAAACUGGCAAACUAGAGUACAGGGGAGGUAAGCGGAAUUCCUGGUGUAGCGGUGAAAUGCGUAGAUAUUAGGAAGAACAACGGUGGCGAAGGCGUCUUACUAAACUGAAACUGACAUUGAGGCUCGAAAGCGUGGGUAGCAAACAGGAUUAGAUACCCGAGUAGUC
rnacentral:rRNA from 1 species